UUAGUCUUCACAGAUUUGCCAGUGAUGUGUCAGAUAUAACACAACUCUUUCAGUAAAUGACUACAAAUAUGAGGCACACAUAUGGUCAGUGUCCAUAACACUGGACAAUUGAAUGGUAUGAGCUCAGUAUA